rnacentral:misc_RNA from 1 species
GCCAGCUACGUUGAGUAGGUCUGGGAUAAGGUUAGCUGCUGAUAAAUGUGCCAGCGAGAAGGAGAGUAUUCGCCAGGAAGGGGAACAAUUACAUACUUCAGGCUUGGCUGAAGUCUCUAAUAUAUGCAGCAGCAGUCCAACCAAAUCACUAAUGGACACAAUUCCACUGAACCAUGAAUCUCCUUCGACCACUUGCCUGGAAAAUUCUGUAAAAGAAGGUGUUUCUGCAGAUACAGAGACAACUGAUGCUUGCGUAACUUAUAAGAAUGAGAAGCCACUAAAAGAUCAGCUGACUUCCUUAUCUGAUGAGAUUCCUU